GUUCAGAGAUGUCUGUCCUCAUUGCUGUGAGCCAGUGAGCCAGAGACAGUGAGCCAGAGAGACAUUGAAUCAGAGAGACAGUAAGCCAGAGAGACAUUGAGCCAGAGAGACAGUGAGCCAGUGAGCUAGAGAGACAGUGAGCCAGAGACAGAGAGACGGUGAGCCAGAGACAGAGCAACAGUGAGCCAGAGAGCCAGAGAGACAGAGAGACAGUGAGCCAGAGAGCCAGAGAGACAGUGAGCCAGAGAGACAGAGAGACAGUGAGCCAGAGAGACAGUGAGCCAGAGACAGAGAGACAGUGAGCCAGAGACAGUGAGCCA
ensembl:lncRNA